CCCAAGAGAUCGGGAUAACACCUGGAAGCAGAUGCUAAUACCGGAUAACAACAGAUGAUGCCUAUCAACUGUUUAAAGGAUGGUUCUGCUAUCACUCUUGGAUGGACCUGCGGUGCAUUAGCUAGUUGGUAGGGUAACGGCCUACCAAGGCGAUGAUGCAUAGCCGAGUUGAGAGACUGAUCGGCCACAUUGGGACUGAGACACGGCCCAAACUCCUACGGGAGGCAGCAGCC
rnacentral:rRNA from 1 species